rnacentral:misc_RNA from 1 species
GGAAAGGGAAGUGGAACCCCAGGAGAAGGGAGUGGAGCCGAUGCCGGAGUUGGAUUAACAGCCUUGUCGGUAGGAUGCUUGGGGUGAGUGGAAUUAGGACUAAUUGCAGAUUUGGAGGAAGAAUUAUGGGGUUUGGAAGAUUUAGAGUCGGAUUUAGGAUCGGAGGGAGGAUUGUUGGUGGAGGACUCCCAGCGGGAUUUCCGGUUAGAAGGGGCGGCGGAAGAAGAAGAAGGCUUGUGAGAUGACUUGGUGGUAUUGCUACCUCCGGCCAUGCCUGCUGUAAAAGCGGGCGGAGCGGCCUAGGGUU